GACGAAGGAUCCAAGCGUUAUCCGGAUUUAUUGGGUUUAAAGGGUGCGUAGGCGGAUUGAUAAGUCAGUGGUGAAAGCCUGCAGCUUAACUGCAGAACUGCCAUUGAUACUGUCAAUCUUGAAUAUGUUUGAUGUGGGCGGAAUAUGACAUGUAGCGGUGAAAUUCGUAGAUAUUGGGAGGAACACCGGUGGCGAAAGCGGCUCUCUAGACCAUUUCUGACACUCAUACGCGAGAGCGUGGGUAGCAAACAGG
rnacentral:rRNA from 1 species